UUCCCAGCACGGCUGCCAGCUCACGGUGA
rnacentral:piRNA from 1 species